rnacentral:lncRNA from 1 species
UCUCAGCAGGCUUUUUCCCAUCCAAUGUGCCAUCGAAGAAUCGGAGAAGGUUUAAACGUUAGCAAAUCAGACAAAUGAACUUCAAAAAUAAAGAACAAAAAUUGGAAAAAAUAUUAACAAAAAGAAGAAAAAUAAAAAGAAGGGACUUUUGUCGAUACUGGUAGCGCUAGAGGAUCCACAGUAACCGCAAGGGCUUCGAAUCCAUAUGCUCAUUCUUUAUUCACUGUUGUCGCCGCUACUGUUGCCACUAGAUUUCCUUCCCAUUUCCGAUUUCUUCGCAGAAACAAUGGAUGAAACGACACCGUAUCUUGCUCUCCCUCUGUUUCUUUAUCGACUUCCAGCCUAUCGACGAGAAUAGUAGUUCAGAGGGGACACGCGAUACGACGCCGUAGACGAGAUAUCUGCUGAUGAUAUUGGCGCGCUUCUGGAGUUGGUGAGAGUUAAAAGAAAGAAGCAACGGCAAAGAGAGAGACCAUCAGCUGACCG